GGACAAUGAUAGACAAAAUCUGGGCUUGGUAUACAGAGACAUCUGCUUGCUUAGCACCCUGGCAAACACACCAUUAAAAAUCCUUUUAACCUUUUAUUAGGUACAGAAAAGAAGGAA